rnacentral:lncRNA from 1 species
GGAUUUUAACCCAAGAGAAAUGAAAAGAUAAUCGAGCAAAGGAUUAUGUUGGACAGUUUUAUAACGAGUGAUCUGGUGACAAUAUGGAUGUCGUUGAUCUUACUGGAGGACGCAAUUACCUAACGGAAGGCUGGUGCCAUUACAAGGGGCUAACGGAAUAUGAAUCCCUCUGACGGCCGCCACGGCCUCAAUCACGGCUCCACCGGAGUCAGUUUCCAA